CGGAGGGUGAAGGCAAAGGAUCAGAAGAAGCCAAUGCAGCUGCUAAAGCGGAAAGCGAUGGAAAUGGAUCUGCUGAGGCAAAUGCAGCUGCUAAAGCGGAAGGAGAAGGCAAGGGAUCUGCCAAUGCUGCAGCUGAAGCUGAAAGUAAAGGCGAAGGAUCUGCUGUAGCAAAUGCUCAAGCCAUUGCGGAAACAAAAGAAAAUGAAGGCAAGAAAGGAAAAGGAAGCGAAGAAAAUGGCGGUAGUGGAUCGAAGGGAGGCAAAAAUG